UGCAGAUGAUGUGACAUUUUCGCUCUGAAAGUCUGUGUUGACAUUUUCUCCAAGACCGCUGAUGCA